UACGGAGGGUGCGAGCGUUAAUCGGAAUUACUGGGCGUAAAGGGUGCGUAGGUGGUUAGAUAAGUUAGCUGUGAAAUCCCCGGGCUCAACCUGGGCAGGUCAGCUAAGACUGUUUGACUCGAGUAUGGGAGAGGGUAGUGGAAUUUCCGGUGUAGCGGUGAAAUGCGUAGAGAUCGGAAGGAACACCAGUGGCGAAGGCGGCUACCUGGCCUAAUACUGACACUGAGGCACGAAAGCGUGGGGAGCAAACAGGAUUAGAUACCCGAGUAGU
rnacentral:rRNA from 1 species